rnacentral:rRNA from 1 species
AGCGAACGCUGGCGGCAGGCUUAACACAUGCAAGUCGAGCGGGCACUUUCGGGUGUCAGCGGCGGACGGGUGAGUAACGCGUGGGAACGUGCCCUCUGGUUCGGAAUAACUCAGGGAAACUUGAGCUAAUACCGGAUACGCUCUUUUGGGGAAAGGCUUGCUGCCGGAGGAUCGGCCCGCGUCUGAUUAGCUAGUUGGUGAGGUAACGGCUCACCAAGGCGACGAUCAGUAGCUGGUCUGAGAGGAUGAUCCGCCACACUGGGACUGAGACACAGCCCAGACUCCUACGGGAGGCAGCAGUGGGGAAUAUUGGACAAUGGGCGCAAGCCUGAUCCAGCCAUGCCGCGUGAGUGAUCAAGGCCUUAGGGUUGUAAAGCUCUUUUAUCCGGGACGAUAAUGACGGUACCGGAGGAAUAAGCCCCGGCUAACUUCGUG